GACCUUCUCAGGUCACACCUGGAGAGUUUUCAGUACUCUACCAGUCUUGGCUAUAGGAGGAAGAGUCAGGCAGAGGCAUCCCGAUUCCAUUCCUAGCUUGGUCAGUGGCUAGCAAGUAGAAGGCAAUAUGCCACAAGU